rnacentral:rRNA from 1 species
UACGAAGGGGGCUAGCGUUGUUCGGAAUUACUGGGCGUAAAGCGCGUGUAGGCGGGCCGUUAAGUCGGGGGUGAAAGUCCAGAGCUCAACUCUGGAAUUGCCUUCGAUACUGGCGGCCUGGAGCAUGAUAGAGGCGAGUGGAAUUGCGAGUGUAGAGGUGAAAUUCGUAGAUAUUGGCAGGAACACCAGUGGCGAAGGCGGCUCGCUGGAUCAUUGCUGACGCUGAGACGCGAAAGCGUGGGGAGCAAACAGG